rnacentral:lncRNA from 1 species
CUCAAAAGGGUUAACAAAUGGUUGAAGUGUUUGGGGUUGCCUUCAUCAUCCCAAUUGGAUAAUAUCAGUACAACAAAAGGGUUACACAUAAUACUUUUUGACCGUGUCUGCUUGAUAGUUGUUUCCGAGUAAUUUCCUUUAAUAUAUCCCAAGUACAACGCCCCUUUUAGCAAUAAUUUCCUUAUGAUGUACGAACUCUUCGUAUUUGGAGCGAACUUUCCUUUGGCUUCCUUAUAAUGCGAUAGAAUACGUCUCAAAAUGAGUUCCAUGACUUCAAAGUUCCUAGACCGCACUUUCUUGUUAUAGGCGCGGGCCAUUCUUUGUUGAUACAAGUGCUAGUGGCAAACUGCGGCCAUCCGUUUUUCAUCAAUGAAAGUCAACUAUUCUAAACUAGUUUUGACCCACUCACUAUCCUCAACCUCGGCUUCAACGAUAAUUUGAAGAGAUUGAAUUGCAACUUCAAUGGGUAUUACGACUUCAGUGCCAUAAACCAAUAGAUAGGGCGUUGCUCCAACUGAUGUGUGCACAAUUAUGCAUAUCCCAACUGUGAAAACAACUUUUCAUGCUAUUAUCUAGAACUUUAGAUCAUCUUCCUCAGAAUUUUCUUGAUGUUCUUAUUUGCUGCUUCAACAAUACCAUUAGCUUUAGGCCAUUAAGGGGUAGAAUUCUUGCAUGAUUUUAAAUUGUUCACAUACUUCCCUUAUCAAAUGACUAUUCAGAUUUGCAGCAUUGUCCGUAAUGAUAGUUUAGGAAUAUCAAAAUGGCAGAUGAUAUUCGACUGCACGAAGAAUACCACUACUUUCUUAGUGACGGCCUUG